CAUGGAACCACGGCUGUGGUCUCCAAAGGAAAGAAGGCCCGCCUUGAGGCACUUCAAACUCCAGCAAGGAUUGCCAAACCUUCGAAGCUGGUACCUCCCCCUCGACCUGUUCCAGAAGCUGCUGUACCAGCUACUCUGGAGGGCGUACCUCCUCCUCGACCUGUUCCAGAAGCUGCUGUACCAGCUACUCUGGAGGGCGUACCUCCUCCUCGACCUGUUCCAGAAGCUGCUGUGCCAGCCACUCUGGAGGGCAGCGUCUUUGUGCAUUCGAGCAAGGUAAUUUGCAUACAACAUGUAAUGAUUAAACACAUUCAGUGAAUAGAGUGCGGUUCUCUAUUCUUUUGAUAUUUUCUCUAAGUUCCCUUUAAGAGUGUAAUUUUGGGUUUCCAUUUCUCAAUUGUAAUGUACAUAUAAUUCUUACUAUGUCUUUGCAGUUUGCUCAACCGGAGGGGGAUGACAAGACUCUGUGUGUUGAUGAGUGGCCGUUUCUUCAAACAGAGUUUUGUGAGGUAAGGGAAUGGGGGAAAAAGAGAGCAUCUUGUAAUAAUUUAAUAUUUGGGUUUUGUUGUUAAUUAAAUUUGUAUGUAGCGCCACAAAAUACAGGCGUGUACAACACUAUGUUUGUUACUGUUUUAAAUAAACUACAUUAGCAGUAAGUUCUUUGAACUGCCCACUUUUCAAUUUUCAUACAAUUGUAUCUCAUGAUAAUUUUGCUCCCUUACCUCAUUGUAGAAGGUGAACCAGCCAACUGCUCGGGUUGUCUCUGGACAGAGAAAACAAGAGGAGCCAACACCUUGGGGGCCAAAAGUUGUGAUGGCCCAGGCUGAUAAACCAACAGCCAAUGAGACCAGCUUCUUGGGAUGUUCAACCAAGGUAAUGACAACAAUAUAAAAAAUGAUUUGCAAAGAAACUUUUACAUUUUUACUUCAUAAUUACAAUCAACAUAGUUGAACUGUUUUUAACAUGUUCUUGGUAAUAUCUACACACUAUGAAUUGGAAAUGUCAAGAAGGUUGGCUGAUGAACUUGUUGUGCUCAUUUUAAUUAUUUAAACUGAACUGAAAGAAAAGUUUUCUUUGUCCUUAAUUCUGUUCACCACAAUACACCAAAUGUCCCCUUUUCUAUGGCUUAUGAGUUUGCAUGU
rnacentral:lncRNA from 1 species